GGUUUUUCUCUCUUAUUCAUCUUGCAGUAGAAGCAUCUGAACUCGGUAAACUCCAGUCAUUUUGUUACUGUUGAAGAGUGAAUCUUCAGUGAAAACAAUGAUGCAUCCCUUAAGUGUUUCACUAGUGGUACUCUGGCUUCAGCUGAGGGGGAUGAACAGCCAGCAGAAGGUGCAACAGAGCCCUGAAUACCUCAGUGUUUCAGAGGGAGCCAUGACCUCUAUCAACUGUAGUUUCAGUGACAGUAAUUCUCCGAACUUCUGGUGGUACAAACAGCAUCCUGGGAAAGGCCUCAAGGCUCUGAUAUCCAUCUUCUCCAAUGGCAAAAAGGAGGAAGGCAGAUUCACUGUUCACCUCAAUAAAUCCAGCCUGCAAGUUUCCCUGCACUUCAGAGACUCCCAGCCCAGUGACUCAGCUGUCUACCUCUGUGCAGUGCGCACACAGUGCUUCCCUGGCACCUGCAGACUGCACCCAAACCUACUGAGCCCUGUCAAAGCCUUAGAACACAGAACACUGGGUGGAAAAAAAUCUCUUUCUAUUCUAUACACAAUGGGAAUUAAGAGAAAAGUAGAGAAGGCUUGAUUGAUUGGGAAAGUGUGGGAGAAUUUCCACUGGUCUACACCUGGUCUGGCUACAGAGUGGAGUGCUAGCAUCUAACUACAAUCCAUGUUUUGUUUCUAGGUUACCUUUUGUUUCUCUUCUUGCCCUCUAUGUGAAUCUUUUCUGAGCCCUUCCCAAGGAUGCAAAACAAGUUUUGAAAAAAUCCCACAAACUGUGAUAUUCCUAAAUCAUGUAUUUGCAUUUCUCAUUGACCUUUAGAGGCCCAGUCAGACGUUUUGAGAAUAUGGAAAUCAACUUGCUUAGGGGUAAAUAUGGAGAAUAAGAAAAAUGACCUUGGCUAAGGGAAGGAGUCUCAGUCCCUAGAGAGGUUGACUCCCCCUACAGGUGAAAGGCUAGAGACAUCCUAAAGGUGAGCUUUGUCUUCAUCCCACAGACCUGCAUGAACCCACACCCAUAUUCCAAAAGGAAAGUAUUUAAGCAUUUUGAAUAUAACCAGCCAUAAAAGGAAAAACACACUAUUGAUUUAACUGAAAUAUUUUCCAAUCUUCUCUUAUGUUGCUGAUUCUACAACCAUGUACACACUCUUUUUGUGCCUAAAUUUGUGAUCUGGAAGACAUGCACAUGGCUGUGACACUCACCUCAUGUUUUGUCAUAAAGACCACCAAAACCUCUAUAACAAUAUGACGUAUUUGACUUUUAAAAUCUUUCCAUUAAAUUUUUUUGUUUUCUAAUUUUGAAAAACUUGUUUAUGAAGUCCCUCAUUUCUCUAUGGCAAUUUUUAACAUAUCUGCUUAUAGUUGACCCUCCCCCAAACUCAUCCCCUCCACCAUUCCCCUAUUCCCUAUUCUCAGUGAAACAUUCUAGUUCCCAGUACCCCCAUACCCUUCUACUUCUAUAUCAUGUGUUCUAAGAUUGCCUUUUCACUCAUCAUUCUUAGUGCAUUUCUUCCCUCUUGUGGGCAGAUGUCUAGCUUCUUGGCAUCUACACAUACUCAUUGUCACAUGAAUACCUACAAAUAAAGUGUACAAGCUAA